GACGAACCGUGCGAACGUUGUUCGGAAUCACUGGGCUUAAAGGGCGCGUAGGCGGAUAAGCAGGUCAGAGGUGAAAUCCCCCGGCUUAACCGGGGAACUGCCUUUGAAACCGUUUGUCUCGAGGGAGACAGGGGCAUGUGGAACUUCCAGUGGAGCGGUGAAAUGCGUAGAGAUUGGAAGGAACGCCGGUGGCGAAAGCGACGUGCUGGAUCUCUUCUGACGCUGAGGCGCGAAAGCCAGGGUAGCGAACGGG
rnacentral:misc_RNA from 1 species